UACGUAGGGUGCAAGCGUUGUCCGGAAUUAUUGGGCGUAAAGGGCUCGUAGGCGGUCCGUCACGUCGGGAGUGAAAUCCUGGGGCUUAACCCCAGAACUGCUUCCGAUACGGGCAGACUAGAGGUAGGUAGGGGAGAAUGGAAUUCCUGGUGUAGCGGUGGAAUGCGCAGAUAUCAGGAGGAACACCAGUGGCGAAGGCGACUUCCUGGCCUGUUCUUGACGCUGAGGCGCGAAAGCUAGGGGAGCAAACGGG
rnacentral:rRNA from 1 species